rnacentral:lncRNA from 1 species
GAUCUGAGAUCGGCCACGAUAUGGGGCGUCGUUCUCGGUGGCGACGCCGCGCCUGGAGGCCUCCACUCCCACGCCGGGUUUCCCGGAUCGACCAGGAGAGAGAGGGCAUGGGCGAAGGUUAGCGGCGACGUCCUCCAGCGACGGGCGACAGGCGACAGGCGAAAUCUUGCAGCGACGGAUGAAAUCGGUCGGAGACGGCGAAGGUCGCAGGUUGCCGCCGUCCUCUCCGCUGCGCCAUGGAGAUCCGUCGUCGCCAGCCGACCUCAUCCCUGCCAUCUCUCCGUCGCUUGGUCGCUAGCCAUAACCAGCCUCCUCCUCUCCAGUCCCAGCCCCCGAGGGGGACGGAUCUGGUCGCCCUUCGGAAUCUCUGGCGUCGGCUUCGUCGCGUCCCGGUUUGAUCCUUUUUGGGAGCCUGCUGGAAUUUUCUUCGGGAUGGCGCUUUUGGAAAGAUUUGGAUUGCAGCAGAUCGAUUUAAUUAACAUGUUUGCAGAGUUCAGAGGAUUCCAGUUGCCUGGCCGGAGUGCAGCUAGAGGAUCGCAGAUGUUGCUGUUUUGAAAGGUGUUUGAUUGUAUUCCUCACCAAGGGAAACCAUAGCUGAUUGCAGAGUUGAUGCUGCUUGUUGUCAACACCCUGCUGCAGAGCCAGACUGCCCAUUGGAUAUUGGUAAUCUGCAUCCCGCCGUCGCAUUUCAUGAGCGGAUUCUACAUUUGCUGACCUACAGGUUUACACCAAUAUGGAUAGCGUGGUGGUGCAGUUUGCUGAAUUGGGAUGUUGUCAUCGCCUACAUUUUUCUUUUCUUUUUUUUUGUCUUACAUCAAGAUAAAUGUGUAUUGUCUCCCAUGUGUAACGUCACCGACGCUGGUGUUGAUGUAACACCAAAAUUUGUUAAAAAAAAUUCCCGGUUUGGUAAGAUUUAUUACAUUAUGUGGU